rnacentral:tRNA from 1 species
GAGCGUAUAGCUCAGGGAUAGAGUGAGUGCUCAGCACGCACGAGUUCCUGGGUUCAAUCCCCAGUAUUUCCA